rnacentral:rRNA from 1 species
GACGAACGCUGGCGGCGUGCUUAACACAUGCAAGUCGAACGAUGAAGCGGGUGCUUGCACUCGUGGAUUAGUGGCGAACGGGCGAGUAACACGUGAGUAACCUGUCCUUUUCUUUGGGAUAACGGCUGGAAACGGCUGCUAAUACUGGAUAUUCAGGCUGCAUCGCAUGGUGUGGUUUGGAAAGGUUUUUUCUGGGAUUGGGUGGGCUCGCGGCCUAUCAGCUUGUUGGUGGGGUGAUGGCUUACCAAGGCUUUGACGGGUAGCCGGCCUGAGAGGGUGGUCGGUCGCACUGGGACUGAGAUACGGCCCAGACUCCUACGGGAGGCAGCAGUGGGGAAUAUUGCACAAUGGACGAAAGUUUGAUGCAGCGACGCCGCGUGGAGGGUGUAGGCCUUCGGGUUGUGAACUCCUUUGUCUCGCGAAAAAGGCACAGUUUUGGCUGUGUUGAUGGUAGUGGGGGAAGAAGCGCCGGCUAACUACGUG